ACAAACUCGAAAGCAGUCCACGUAAUUAAAGUUAAUGUUAGUCGCGAGUAAUAAUUAUAGCAAACUAUAGCUAUGAUGAGUAAUUAAAUAGUAUAAAUUUGUUUAACCGCGUAAUUUUCUCAAAAAAUAAACUGGAAAAGAAAAAGGAAGCAAAAAAUACUUACACAUAAACUCGGUCCAAAAGUGACCAAGUUCAGAUAGACUGAACACCCUAAAAAUAGGAUUUCCUAAUGAAAGCAACUUCAGCUUUGUCUCCUCCGCUCCCACCACCAAAAUGUCGCUUCGCACCCUUCAUAACAAAGACCUUCACCAGCUCGUCCUCUGGGUGAUCAAUAUUCUUCACCGGUGAUUCUCGAUCUUCAUCCUCAACUUGUAGAAGUAGCUAUUUCAUUUUUUAUUCCUGAUAUUUGUUCAAAAAUCCCGGCUGAUGGGCAUCCCAAAUUUUCAGGUGUGUAUUUCAGUGGAGGUUUAAGAGUUUGUGAUAAACUCGAAAAGGGGUUAGAACUGGGUAUUUAAGUUUUGUAGCUCACAGUAAGUUAAUCCAGUUCUCCCAUUUUUCUUUCAUUAUCUAGAGUGAUAACUUUUUUGUUGAAUCUACUUGAUGUAGUGGAUGAGAAAACUAACUUGCUCCCAGGUUCCUCCGUUUGAUCACUCAGUUGUGUACGAGUUGAGUCUUGCCAAUUCAGUUUCAAAACCCUGGUUUUUUUAACGGUGAUCCUUUUAGUUUGGAAUUUUUUCCUCUGCUUGAUUGAUGGUUAUGUUGGUGAUGUAAUCGGCUAGUUGAUUAACUUCCCUGAAAAUAUGUUUGACCUGAAUGUUGAUCUGUUCAUUAAAUCUUUGAUUUCCUCCAUCCUCUCUAUUAGCUCCCAGGGUAUUUUGCAUUCUCCAACAAUCAUCUUUUUGAGACCUAGUGAAUCAGUCUCCAGAAUGAUGUUGUUGAAGUUAUGGAGAGUGCAAAACUGGAUGGCAUUCCAAAUGGCCAUCGACUAAGCUUCCAAGAUAGUUGCAAUUUAAAUGUCCUUAAUUUGCUUUGCGUAAAAGAGUAGUUCCCUGGAUUGCCUUUGCUAGCCCCAUAUAUAUUGCACUUCACCCACCUAAUCUUUGAUAGGUUUCACUUCACAAUAUGAUAAUAAUGAAGUGGCGGUCUAUAAUGUUGUAGAUAUCAACCAUCCCUUCCAAGUGGUUUGGAAUCCUCCUCAUCGAAGGGUACUUUACCAUGAUGAGUUGAUUAAGGGAUAACGAUCUGACAAAUAUUUCAAUUUUGAUCGAAUUUGCUGUUAUGAUACUAAACUUUCAUAAGGACUUAUUACCUCUCUAGACUAUUUAAUACCGUAUUUUUUAUCUCUGUAAUUAUUUUAAUAGUGUAUUUUAAAGGUAUAUAUGUGCUCACUUGGACACAUUACUAUUUAUAAUUUUUGCAUUAUUUUUUAUGUCCACGUGGACAAAUAUAUAUGUUUAAAAUAUGGUAUUAAAUAGUCUAAUGAGGUAAUAGGUCCUCAUGAAAGUUUAGUAUUGCAACAGCAAAUUCGACCAAAGUUAAGGUAUUUUUCAGACUCUUAUCCCGUUGAUUAACUGCUAGUUGACAUUGUUGAUGUUGAUACCCAAUUUUGACCCUCUUUUCUUCAAUUUACAUUUUUUGAGCUUCUAAUCUUGUUUUCUAAACGAGUUCAUGAGGAGUUUUUGAGCUUUAUCUUUUUUAAGAGAAUCUUUUUGAGUAAUAAUCUCAAGUUGAGGAUGAGUUAUGUUUUUAAACAUAUGAGAAUGAGUUAUAUAUUAUUGGGAGUAGUAUUGAGCACCGAUAUGGGGAUGGGUUUAAUUAGACAACUCAAAAUGCUCAUAAAUCAUGUGCAUACAUGGAUAAAUGGUCAUAUUUUUUAGAUGAUUCUUUAUUGCUUUUAAGCAUAACUUAGUGGACCCACUUAGUUGAGGAUGUCCUAUACCCCGACAAGGUAUAUGAAAGUUUUGGCAGCGUGGACGAGACGUUACAUCAUCACGUAGCUCAUAGUGAUGGUUGUGGGUUAGAGAAUCUCCCAAAUAAAAGUAAAGAGUUUAUUAUUGUAUUUUUAUAUACAUCUGAGUUAUUACUUACUUUUUUUAAAGUUUGAUAUAUUCAUUGCAUCUUUUAUCAUUGCUUUCAUGUUGAGUUGAGACGAGGUGAGUGUCUUCCUUUCUUCCAAUUCAAGUUUAUGUUUAUAUUUCAGAGUCCCCCUUGCAUGCUGUUACAUUCAAUGUAUUGAUCUG
rnacentral:lncRNA from 1 species